AAGUGGGAAUAGUGGGCACCUAUGUCUCAUUCCUGAUUUUAGGGGAUAUGGUUUCAAUUUUUUUCCAUUAACUAUGAUGCUGUCUAUAGGUUUGUCGUGUAUAGCCUUUACAACGUUGAGGUACAGUCGUUGUAUUCCUAGUUUUCUUAGAGCUUUUAUUAUGAAGUGGUGUUGAAGAAUUUUUCUGUAACUAUUGAGAUGAUCAGGUGGUUUUUGUCUUUGCUUCUAUUAACGUGCUGUAUUACAUUUAUAGAUUUGCCUAUGUUUAAUCAUGUCUGGAUCCCUGGGAUUAAGCGACUUGGUCAUAACGAAUGAUCUUUCUCAUGUGUUUUUGUAUUCAGUUUAUCCUUAAUUUAUGGAGGAUUUUUACAUCGAUGUUCAUUAAGAAGAUUGGCUGAUAGUUCUCUUUUUUUGGAGGUGUCUUUGUCUGGUGUUUGGAUGGGUGUACUACUGACUUCAUUAAAUGAGAUAAUUUAUUAUUCACAAAAUGCUCUCUGUUCCUUGAAUCUGGGAAUGCAUAAAGACUCACAGAAAAGCAAGAUUAAACUUCAAGAUGAACUUAACUGAGGAAUUCCAAAAUGGCAGCUAGAGGAAGAAAGCAGAAAGCGUUCCUCUUAUAGUAAAAUCUUGGAGAGACGCUGGAGACACACCUUGCAGGCAAAACCACCAAGAAGAGGCAAAACUUUGACCCCUCACACCUCCAGCAGCACAGAAUCUCUACUUCGUUAAAUGGAGAAACCAGGAGGGCCCCCAGGCUAACCAGUUGCCCGUGCCCAGAUGGCUUGGGAGAAGUGGACAAGAUGAGCUAAGUGGUUUGGAUAAACACCUCAGAUGUUAUAUUGGUUGGUCUACGAGACUAUCAGCUAAAGUCAAUGAAACGGACACAUUUGGUCCCAGAGAGGAUGAUGAAAUCCAGUUUGAUGAUGUCGGAGAUGAUGAUGAAGACAUUGAUGAUAUCUAAGCUGAACCCAAUGUGUU